GCAGGGCUUCCAGUCUGCCGUUUGCUGACACAGCCUGCUGACUUCCACCAGUACAUGCCUGCUCAUGAAUCUCCCUAGUGUUGACAGCCCCAGACAGGGACAUCCCUGGCAACAAGGGGAAGAGACUCUGUGCUUCUACAAGGGGCUCAGUCAAACUUCUCUAAGGCCAAACAGACAGGAAGACGGGAAUGGUAUAAGGUUGGAUCUUGCCAUUUGGGGCUGCACUUUUGACUCUUGGGCCUUAUCUAUAGGUUCCCAAAUGGAAAAAUAUCCGUUCAGGAUCACAAUGCCUCUUUCCUCAAUCCUUGUUCUGUCUACUCCACUCAAGCUCCUGAAGGUUGUUUGCAGACAGAAUAAAAAACUCCCUGUGAACCUGCUAUUUCUUUGGAAAGAGCUGCUGAACAAUCCUUGUUAACAGUCAACCUCAGGGGUCAGCAAGACAUAGGGCCCGACAAAGGCACUGAGGAAGAACUCAGGCAGAGGGCAUUUCUUCCGAAGGCCCCAGUAUAGGAUCCCCUAACAUCCCUGGCUAAUUGGAGGUGAAGCCGGCUGUAUCUUCUAAGAAAAUGUCCCGAGAGCAAAAAUAUGCUCUUUGAGGGAGGGAAGCCCAUUGCCCGUGGUAUUAAUUAGGGUAUUGUUUCAGCUUCUGUAUGAUCACUCAACAAAUUCUUUAAAAUAUACUUUUAUGUCUUAUGUAAUAAUUCAAGAGUAAGGAGUUCAAGGCCUGUU